rnacentral:lncRNA from 1 species
GUACUUAUUAGGUAUUUGUCUAUUUUAUUUAUCUAUUCAGGUCACUUUUCAAUAGUUAAAAAUCCAUUAAUUUUACUGUUUAGCUGAAUUAAUUGCAUUCUCCUACUUUUAUGUUUCAUAUUUUUGUGCUUAAUUUGUUUCAAUCUUUUAUUUUUCUUGUUAAAAGGAAUCCAUUAUUAUUUGCAUUAUCAUUGACGACUGUGAGAAUCUGCAGAAAAAAACAGUAUGGAACUACAACUUCAUGUUCUUGAGAAAAGCUUGCAGUGUAAGAUGCGUUUGUUUGUGGUGCCUGAGGAAGAGAGCAGAAAAGAGAGUUGGUAGUGCUGAGCUGCUGAAGGUUCAUUACUACCUAGCCUUGAGAAUGGAGACCCCACUCGGUACUCUUCAUAAGAGAUGCCCCAACACGUCAAAGGAAUUAUGAAUACUGGAGGAACAUUAAAAGUCAGAGAGAUGUGCUCCUGUUCAUCUGGAAGAAAGCAAAGAAUCAUGCUCUGAACUCCUUUUUGGGGCAUGUGGCCAGGAACUGAGCGUGACCUCUAGAAGUUGAAUGUGGUUUCUAUUCAGAAGUCAGUAAGAAUAUGGAUGCCUUAGUCAUACAACUUCAGGGAAAUGAAUUUUGUCAACAAUUAAUGAGUUUGGGUAGUACGCUGAGGCUCCAAUAUGAAUUGGGAGCCCAGAUGAUUUUUAGCCGGGGGUCCUGAGCACUUUGUUACCUUGUACCAUAACUCCUGUACCAUGGAAACUGUGAAAUAAAUUUCUGUCAUUUUAAACCACUAACUUGUGGUAAUUUGUUAUUCAAAAACAGGAAACUAAUGAAAUCACUGUUAUGCG